rnacentral:rRNA from 1 species
AAAAACAUGGCCUUUUGUGUAGGAUUUAAGGUCUGACCUGCCCAAUGAUUAUUUUAAUGGCCGCAGUAUUUUGACUGUGCAAAGGUAGCAUAAUCAUUAGUUUUUUAAUUGGAAGCUGGAAUGAAUGGUUUGAUGAAAAAAUAACUGUCUCGGUGUGAAUGUUUUAUAAUUUUAAUUUUAAGUUAAAAAGCUUAGAUUUAUUAGGAAGACGAGAAGACCCUAUAGAGUUUAAUAUUUUUUUAUUUAGUUUUUUAUUGGAUUUUAUUAUGAGCUAUUUAAAUAAUUAUUUUGUUGGGGUGAUGCAAAAAUUUAAUUAACUUUUUGUUUUAUUUAACACUAAUUAGUGAUUAUUUGAUCCUAUUUUUUAGAUUAUAAGAAUAAAUUACCUUAGGGAUAACAGCGUAAUUCUUUUGGAGAGUUCUUAUCGAUAAAGAAGUUUGCGACCUCGAUGU